CCAGCAUUCAUCAAAAAAAAAUUAUUUAUCUUUUACUUUGUAUCUCUGCAUCAUCUAAACUGUUUCAGUUAACCAUAUAAUAAACAAUUGCAGUUGAUUAGCAAAUGGAAACUAAAGCAGGACUCAUGUUUAAAGCGAUUUUUUUUUUUGAUAAGACUGGCACAAUAGAACACAAACUGUGUGUGAUCUGGCGUGUAGAAAAGGACUUGACGUCCUCGACCUUCCACCUGAUAUCCAACCACACUUGAGAAGGAGUAGUUCAAGAACCAUCAUUGUCUCUAAAAUCGUACAUAGGAAAACUCUCCAUAAGUUUGGGGCAUGUAACUGUUACACUGAUACGUACUCCUGCAGGAUAUGUACAUUCUUAUAGGUUCAUUUUCUUUAUCUUAUUUAGAUUAAAGGGGCAGUAACCUUGAAUAAGAUGAUAGGGAUGGGUUUUCCUUUGUUAGACGUGAUAUACCCAUAACCCGCCACUAGCGCUGAAAAGCCUUCUGGCUAAGAUUGUGAAGUUGUUCAGCCGUCUACUAAGCUUCUGCCAGUUGCUCCGAUGGGAGUUGUUGGUCGGAGGUGAAUGUAUCUUUCACAUAAUUGGAAUCGCACAUGACAAAUCAAGUUGGCUUCUCGAUGACUUCCUGCAGUCAUUUAUGAAAGCUCAUGGACCUCUGAAGAUAUCAGCAAUUGGGAAUUGGUCAGUUCUCUUACAGUGUCGGAUGAAUUUCUGUGCUGCUAUUGUGCCAAAUACCAAACGUAUCAGUGUUAAACUUAGUAAAGCUAAUACAAUCCAAAUUUUCUUCUUUGUAUGUGUUCUUUACAUUAAAAGAACAAGAUUCUCCGGUGAGAUCGAGUUGAGAUACCUCAUCGGCAAAACCUUGAUGGAACCAUUUUUAUAUGCUUCUUCUGAGUAAUCUCUGGCUACAAGAUUCUGAAAUCGUAACUCGAAGCUCCAUGGUAUAGACCCAAAACAAUGUGUACGUCAAAAGCUAAUGUGCCACAUAAUUUUUUUUGUUAUGUUUGGUGUAAAACCACACUUUUUUCUUACGUCUAUUAUCUUCAAAUUGUCUGGUUGAUACA